rnacentral:rRNA from 1 species
CGAACGGGUGCGUAACACGUGGAUACAUUCCGGGAAGCGGGGGAUAGCCCAGGGAAACUUGGAUUAAUACCGCAUGUGAUCGAAAGAUCAAAGACGGGGACCGCAAGGCCUGUCACUUCCCGAUUGGUCCGCGGCCUAUCAGCUAGUUGGCGGGGUAAAAGCCCACCAAGGCGACGACGGGUAGCUGGUCUGAGAGGACGACCAGCCACACUGGAACUGAGACACGGUCCAGACACCUACGGGUGGCAGCAGUCGAGAAUCUUUCACAAUGGGGGCAACCCUGAUGGAGCGACGCCGCGUGGAGGAUAAGGUCUUCGGAUUGUAAACUCCUGUCAUGUGUGAACAAGGCAGCCGGGCUAAUACCUUGAGCUGAUUGAUGGUAACACAAGAGGAAGAGACGGCUAACUCUGUGCCAGCAGCCGCGGUAAUACAGAGGUCUCAAGCGUUGUUCGGAAUCACUGGNCGUAAAGGGUGCGUAGGUGGCGUGGUAAGUCAGAUGUGAAAGCCCGGGGCUCAACCUCGGAAUUGCAUCCGAUACUGCCGUGCUUGAGUACUGGAGAGGUGACUAGAAUUCUAGGUGUAGCAGUGAAAUGCGUAGAUAUCUAGAGGAAUACCAAAGGCGUAGGCAGGUCACUGGACA